UACAGAGGGUGCAAGCGUUAAUCGGAAUUACUGGGCGUAAAGCGCACGUAGGUGGUUGAAUAAGUUUUGAUGUGAAAGCCCCGGGCUUAACCUGGGAAUGGCGUUGAAGACUGUUGAACUUGAGUCGGACAGAGGGUUGUGGAAUUUCCGGUGUAGCGGUGAAAAUGCGUAGAGAUCGGAAAGAACACCAGUGGCGAAGGCGACAGCCUGGGUCCAGACUGACACUGAGGGGCGAAAGCGUGGGGAGCAAACAGG
rnacentral:rRNA from 1 species